GACGAAGGAUGCAAGCGUUAUCCGGAUUCAUUGGGUUUAAAGGGAGCGUAGGCGGCCUUAUAAGUCAGUGGUGAAAUCUUUGGGCUUAACCCAAAAAUUGCCAUUGAUACUGUAGGGCUUGAGUACAGUUGCUGUGGGCGGAAUAUGACAUGUAGUGGUGAAAUACAUAGAGAUGUCAUAGAACACCGAUUGCGAAGGCAGCUCACAAAAACUGUAACUGACGCUGAGGCUCGAAAGUGCGGGGAUCAAACAGG
rnacentral:rRNA from 1 species